rnacentral:rRNA from 1 species
GCCGGUCUCAUCGCUUCGCUCUGUUCACGCACGCACCGCUUUUCAUUUGCCUUAUCUCUUCCGUCUCUCCCUUACAGCCAUUCAUUCUCUUCUCUCUCUCACCUCUCACCCAGUUUAUCCCCUCAACUAUCCCAGCCACCACCACCGAUUCAUGGCCACCGACACAUCCUCCCUCCUCUGGCCUAAUGCCAUGGCGCAGAUUCAUCCCGAGGCGCGCAUCGCCAGGAAUCGGCAUGCCGAAAGCACCAAGCGUUGAUGCAGGGUGUCCCCUGGUGAGUGGAGAUGACGCGGGGGGCUCGCCGGCGUCGCGACGAUGCUAGGGUGCGAACCAACGCUCGUCGCCAUGGCCGCCCGCAGCUGCGCUGCUCUCCAUGGCCGCCUCAGCAGAAUUUUGCUACAACCAUGUUAGUUUUUGCUGGAACUAGCCCGUGUUUUUGCUGCCACUCACCCACCCAAAAUCUGCUAUCACGGUGAUCUUUGCUGGAACCGGCAAAUCAUUUUGCUACAACCGUUUUGGUUUUUGUUACUACCGACGUUUGUGGAUUUUUGCUAUAUCAAUCUCCAUGACAUGUG